rnacentral:rRNA from 1 species
UACGGAGGGGGCUAGCGUUGUUCGGAAUUACUGGGCGUAAAGGGUGCGUAGGCGGCGAGGUAAGUCGGCUGUGAAAUCCCGGGGCUCAACCCUGGAACUGCAUUCGAUACUGCCUUGCUCGAGGACUCGAGAGGAGAUUGGAAUUCACGGUGUAGCAGUGAAAUGCGUAGAUAUCGUGAGGAAGACCAGUGGCGAAGGCGGAUCUCUGGAGAGUUCCUGACGCUGAGGCACGAAGGCCAGGGGAGCAAACGGG